UUCCGUUUUUUUCACGUGUAAAAAUGUCUGCUCUAGAUGAUGUUGCUUCUUCAAGGAAAAACGCAGGCAGAAAGGGAUUUUGGUACCAAAUUGAGUUACAUUUUACUCUCAAAGAAGAUAAGGACCAGUUCUAGCUAGGCUUGAUCGAGUUAAAGGGGUCUUUAGGCACUAAAAGAAGGCGCUGGAAAUGCUGUCUCACUUACUUGCUGAUUUAGUCGGGAAAGAGGGUCAUUUAGAGGCUCUAUCACAUGAUACUAGUUAUACUCAAUACUUCAGGUAUUGGUAAUGGGGUCGAAGAGCAGCCAUUUUGUGCAUAGAUAUAGGAUCGGCUAUUGGGACGCACAUGUUGGUGAUAGUGUCAUAUGGUUGACCGAAGGGUGAUCAAUUACAGUCAGUAUAAGUCAUGUGAUUUGUGCUGAAUUUCAGUUCAAUGAUA